UACGAAGGGUGCAAGCGUUACUCGGAAUUACUGGGCGUAAAGCGUGCGUAGGUGGUUUGUUAAGUCUGUUGUGAAAGCCCCAGGCUCAACCUGGGAAUGGCAAUGGAUACUGGCAAGCUAGAGUGCGGUAGAGGGUAGUGGAAUUCCCGGUGUAGCGGUGAAAUGCGUAGAGAUCGGGAGGAACACCAGUGGCGAAGGCGGCUCCCUGGACCAGCACUGACACUGAGGCACGAAAGCGUGGGGAGCAAACAGG
rnacentral:rRNA from 1 species